CCGGGCUGGGGGCUCCUGGUGCUGCCCGUGGGGGGGGGUGUGCCCAGGACGCUGCCAAUGCCCAGGGAUCUGCUCUGGGUCCAGGCUGUCCGUGCUGGAGGGCCCUGGUGGCUGCAGUCCCUGAGCCCACAGAGACAGAGAGAGCCCCGGCCCGAGUGGCCUUUGGCCCCUUGUCCUGAAUUUGGGGUGAGCCUGGGAGCGUGUGGAGGGUGAGAAUGAGGGCUGUGCUUCCAGUGCAUCAUCCCUGGGAAGAUCCUGUUGUUCCAGAGCGCUGGGGACAGUUUGGGCUUGGCAGCUUCAGAGCUGGGUCGGAGCAGCCCCUGGAAAGAAUCAGGAGAGUGGAGAUGCUGGAAUUGCCUCUCUGGCUGUGUGCUGAGCUCUGGCUGCAGGGGACUGUCAGGCCUUGGUGGCUCUGUUCCCUGCUGUCCAUUCCCUGGCCUGAAUUCCUUGCAGCUCCCAGCUGGGGAAACCUGGGAGAACAUGGCAGGGACAGAGGUGACAUUUGUAGCUGCCAACUUGGGGUAAUUUCGAGCGGCCCCAGCAACUGUUUGUGUAGGAAAAGGUGAGGUGCUGCAGAGGGGAGGGAGGUGGCAUUUUGGAGGGGUCCCACUGAGGGGGAGUGGAGAGCCUGGGGCUGGAGUGUGAGUUCUUAAACAGGGAAGAAGGGAAGGAUGCUUGGGAGGGAAACACUCAGGGAAUGUGUAGGGAUGGAAUGGAAAUUUGGGGUGUCAGGAAGAGAAAAUGGGUGAUGUAGAGGAAGGGAAAUGUUGGAGGUAAGAGUUGAUGUCAUCUGUAGAGGACAGAAUGACCAUUUAGAGAUAAAGUGAGGCAGUCAGUGGUGGGCAGGUAGGGAAAAUUUGUGUGUGUAAAAUUUCAGGUCACCUGUAGCAGAGAGGAUGUACCUCCUGCUGGACACUGAGGCAGUCAGGGGUGGGCAGGAGGGGAAACCUUUGGGGGUAAAACUUGAGGGAACGUGCAGGGCAGAGAGUGAAUAUUUUGAAGGAUAAAUGAGGUGCUCAGUGGUGGACAGCUGGGGAGUGUUUUAGGGUAAACUUGGGGUAGCCCACAGGGUAGAGAGUGAACAUGUAUUUGUAGAGAGGAGCUGAUUACAUGUGGGUAGGUAAGGAGAAUUUUGGGAGUAGAAUCUGUAGCAGAGAGAAGGAAUACCUUGGGGUAAAGUGAGGCAGUCAGUGUUGGGCAG